rnacentral:rRNA from 1 species
AUUGAACGCUGGCGGCAUGCCUUACACAUGCAAGUCGAACGGUAACGCGGGGGCAACCCUGGCGACGAGUGGCGAACGGGUGAGUAAUACAUCGGAACAUAUCCAGUAGCGGGGGAUAACCUAUCGAAAGAUUGGCUAAUACCGCAUACGAUCUACGGAUGAAAGCAGGGGACCGCAAGGCCUUGCACUAUUGGAGUGGCCGAUGUCAGAUUAGCUAGUUGGUGGGGUAAAAGCCUACCAAGGCGACGAUCUGUGGCUGGUCUGAGAGGACGAUCAGCCACACUGGAACUGAGACACGGUCCAGACUCCUACGGGAGGCAGCAGUGGGGAAUUUUGGACAAUGGGCGCAAGCCUGAUCCAGCCAUGCCGCGUGAGUGAAGAAGGCC